CUUGAACUCAGGUAUAUAAAAUUCCCUAUUGUUAAUUACCGUACAGUAGUAAUAGGUAAGAAUUGAAUAGUCAAUUCCAUUCUUUCUAUAUAUCAACAAUAAAUUUCAUGUUUAGGUGUGAAACUUUAAAAUUGAUUAAAAUACACUGGUUGUUGUAGAAUCGAUUGUUUGACUGGUGUCAAUUAGACUAGGGUCUACGUAUUGGCUCGAGAAGUUUUGAGGUGAGUUAAUAUAACACUUUACUAAAGUGGUUUAACUCACAAAAGCACGCACGCAAGGUGUUUGAUUAAUUGCAUAAAAGAGUUAAUAUAUAUUUAAUUGGAGUAGUAAGUACCUAUUAACUUAGAAUUAUUUUCUAGCUAAAGUUUAGAUGAUUAUUUGGAUAUAUGUGCAUAAAUUUCAGAUUUUUAUGUUAUUCUUAUAUGCCAUCUUCAUGUUGAAAAUUCAUGAAGUAUCAAGAACCUUUAUAAAUACUUUUGAAUGUUUAUUCCAUUCUUAUGCCAUGACUUACAUUUAAGGAUAUCAGUAUGAGUAUGUAUAAAAGAUUUAGACUUGCAAAGUCACAAGAAGAAGUUUUAGAAAGAAAAGAUUUUUGGAAGUAUCCUUUAUUCUGAGAAGGGGUCAUCGUCCAGGCCUAGGGUCCUGACCAAGGCGUUGACUUCUGAAACUACUUGUGCCAAAGUAGGGAGCACACGAGCCAAGGGUCUCGUUGCUGAGAAUUUACUUAGUCAUGCUAAGGUAUGAGACAUGAGCGCUGAGAACUCGUGGAUUGGGCCUAUUCGAUCAGGUUGGGAUCGAACCCGUGCCGAUCACAUGGUGACUGAGGCAGAAUUAAGUCAGCAUAGUUGGAACUCCCAAAGUAUAAAGUGGAGUAUAUUUUUUUUUAGAAAGAAAAAAAAAGAAUUUCUUUUAGAAUAUUCAAAAACUGCUAUUAUGCAAUUAUUUAGAAUUAUUCUUAUAAGCUUUAUGUUUUACAUGCAUUUAGAACCUUUGCUCAUAAUGUAUAUGUUAUUAAAGUUUCGCCCCCUAUUGUUGAGACUCACUGAGUACAAUGGAUGGUACUGACGUUCUCUUUUGGGAACCUACGUUGGUCUGCGGUACAACGUAGGAACCAGAUUUGCAGGCGAGCAGGCUACGAGUUAGGACUUCCUUCUCUUCCAGUGCUAUUGGUGAGCUCCGCUUUUGUUCGUGGAGUAUUCCUUAGAGUCAUCUUUAUUUAGUUAUUUCUUUGUUACUUAGAGAACUAGCCAGGAAAUCUUAUGUCCUGAGCAGUGCNNN
rnacentral:lncRNA from 1 species